rnacentral:lncRNA from 1 species
GACUCUAUGAUUUUGACUACUCUAGGCACCUCAUACUGGAACUAGUUCACAGACCCAAAGAUGCUUGAAUGAAGGAAAGGCAGCCUUCCCUGGAGGAAGAACUCAACAGCGCUUCCACAAAUAGUACAUUUUUACUGAUUAUCAAAGAAGGACUGUGACUAAACUAGAAGGAGAAUUAACACUAUCCAGAGAUGGCUACAGUUCUGAAGGGAAACUUUGAGUCUCCACCUUUCCAAGAGUGGAUAAUCCUCUCUCCACAACUUGAUAAUGCACAAACUGCAAAUCUUCUGGUACUCACUGCUGCAAGCAAACUUGAAGUCUUUCUGAGCCUGACUCUUCAUUCCUGCCUUGUGUGACCCAGGGAUGGAGGACUGCCCUCCCAACUCAUUAUCCUCUUUGCCCAGGAGCUGUACAUACAAAGGUGGUGAUUCCAAAGAAUUAGAGCAAACAAGCUGGAGCUGGAAUCUGUCCUGUUAUAAAAAAUCUGUUCCGCCCAAUCACGAGAAUGUAUGGGUCAAGGUUACAGCCAAUGCCUGCAAAUCACCACCGUGUGUUUCAUUGAAGAAAGUGC